AGAACGAACGCUGGCGGCAGGCUUAACACAUGCAAGUCGAGCGCUCGCGAGCAAUCGCGGGAGCGGCAGACGGGUGAGUAACGCGUGGGAACAUACCCUCCGGUUCGGAAUAACGCAGGGAAACUUGUGCUAAUACCGGAUACGGUCGAGAGGCGAAAGAUUUAUCGCCGGAGGAUUGGCCCGCGUUCGAUUAGCUAGUUGGCGGGGUAAUGGCCCACCAAGGCGACGAUCGAUAGCUGGUCUGAGAGGAUGAUCAGCCACAUUGGGACUGAGACACGGCCCAAACUCCUACGGGAGGCAGCAGUGGGAAUAUUGGACAAUGGGCGCAAGCCUGAUCCAGCCAUGCCGCGUGAGUGAUGACGGCCUUAGGGUUGUAAAGCUCUUUCGCUAGGGACGAUAAUGACGGUACCUAGACAAGAAGCCCGGCUAACUUCGUGCCAGCAGCCGC
rnacentral:rRNA from 1 species